GGGGAUGUCAGUCUCGAUAAGAGAUUACUUCUACUCGUGCCAAACGGAGUUGCUAAAAUCUCCUUAAACUUUUGGCAAUCCAGAAAUGCUAACGCAUCUUCUAAAGCGGGUGUGGCUUCGCCAUACUUUGCUCCGGCCUUCGCUUUAGCGUAAGCCGGCGUCUCUUAAGUCCGCGCCUAAACGGGUUUAAUGAGGUGUCAUAUAUUUUGGGCUAGAAUUUUUAACCGCUUCGCUAAAAAUUUGAAACUUAGAAGCUCGCUUCAUUGAUAUUUUGUUAGUUUUUAAGUCAGUGAAGUUAAAUUUUAAAAUUAGCUACGUUUGGUAGAAACGCGUUUAGGUACCUUUUACACGUGGGUUCAACCCCGCCAUCUCCACUG
rnacentral:tmRNA from 1 species